rnacentral:rRNA from 1 species
AUGGGUAACAAUGGUGUGUGGUGUGUCCUGUUAGUGGGGCUUCUCCUGGUUGCAUCGGUGGAGGGAGAUGACUGGAGUGCGCAUCUUAAUCUCAAGCCUUCUGCUGGAGAAGCGGGAGGAGUUAUGGUAGCCAAGGGAAGUCUACCUGAUGUCCGGUUCUCCAUCUGCGACGUCUGGUGCGAGGACAGGCGCCCAAACGUCAACCACAGACUCUGCGUCCAAAAUCUGUGCCCCUAUGACAAGACCCCAAAGCGUUUUUCUGCUGGAGAAGCGAGAGGAGCCAUGUUAGCUAAGGGAGGUCUGCCUGCUGUGCGGUUGUCCAUCUGCGACGUCUGGUGCGAGGAUGUGCACCCAAACAUGAACCACAGACUCUGCAUCCAGAAUCUGUGCCCCUAUGACAAGACCCCUAGGCAUUUUUCUGCUGGAGAAGUGAGAGGAGCCAUGUUAGCUAAGGGAGGUCUGCCUGCUGUGCGGUUGUCCAUCUGCGACGUCUGGUGCGAGGACGUGCACCCAAACAUGAACCACAGACUCUGCAUCCAGAAUCUGUGCCCCUAUGACAAGACCCCUAGGGUAAAGCUCACCUCCAACGACCUACUGUCUGCGUGA